AUUCCAGCUCCAAUAGCGUAUAUUAAAGUUGUUGCAGUUAAAAAGCUCGUAGUUGGAUUUCUGGCGGGAGCGGCCUGUCCUGCCCUUUGCGGGGUUGAGCACAAGCGCUGCAUCCGGCCAUCCUUGUGGAGAGCGUUUCUGGCAUUCAGUUGUCGGACUCGGGAUCCGCAUCGUUUACUGUGAAAAAAUUAGAGUGUUUAAAGCAGGCAUUUGCUUGAAUACAUUAGCAUGGAAUAAUAAGAUAGGACUUAGUCGUUAUUUUGUUGGUCUUGCACGUCUAGGUAUGAUUAAUAGGGAUAGUUGGGGGUAUUCAUAUUUAAUUGUCAGAGGUGAAAUUCUUGGAUUUAUGAAAGAUGAACUUAUGCGAAAGCAUUUACCAUGGAUGUUUUCAUCG
rnacentral:rRNA from 1 species